UUAGAGCAUUUUACUCUUCGGAUAUAGAUCUGCAAUUUAUUCUUCUUCUUUUGGGUGCAGUGGGUGAUUUAGAUGUUCUUGUAGUAUUGUGCGUAUAUCAUCAGUAACGCUUUAUUCAUUUCGAAUCAUUUUGAUAUCCAAUCUAAUAUUUAAUUUCUUUGACAACCGCAUUUUUGAAAUUAAACUAGAAAGUAGUAGUAGUGUAACUCAGUGGUGUUCCACAACAAAGUUUGAUGGCAGCGGUAUAGAUUGAUAAAGAACCAGAAAAACGGCGUUCCUAUGUUUGGAAUAGCUAAAAAACGAUUUUGCGGUUUAUUCGGGUUUUUAAGACAAGGGCCUAUACUGUAGUGACUGAAAACUAGAAGAAUCCAGAUCAGAAUUCCCAACAUUCGGAUUAUACCUUGCAUUUUACAUCGUUUUCAUCAAUUGAAAAGUAAUUUUAAUCAUAGGAAUUAUGGGAGUUGUCGGAGUCAGGAAUUUGAGCGCGCUUUGGUUAUCGAUCGCCCACAUUCGUCUUCCUUUUUCGUUUAAACAGCUAGGACUAGGGCGUAGAGAACGCACGGAACUUUAUUUGCCGCCAUCAAUAGUUUCUUAAUAUUUGGCUAUUAAAUUCGUUAAAUUGGCACUCCCGCACUAAUUCAUGGACGGAUUUGCCCUUGCCCUAAAUGAGGAGGAUAUAAUUGCGUCUCUGCUGGCUUUUAAAGAGGGUUUUAAUUGGAAGGUUCAAAGUCUAGUUUUAAUUUAUAGUACCAGUUUAAGGACCAGUUUCAGUUCGGAAAAGCUUUAAGUACCUAGCAUUUUGUCGGCUUUCAACAUCUUUUGAUAUAGCUACUACCUGCUGAUAUUGAACCACCAUUUGCUGAAAUUGUGUCACUGGGCCAUGCACCUGCAGAUUUGAUAUCAAGGAUUCGAUCGUUACUUAUGGUCGAGUUUUACACACGAAUGUUAUGGUAACCCGCCACUUCUCUCUGGAGAGGUUGACCCAGUCAGUAUUAGUAUCGUACUUGUGAUAGAAGCUUACUACGAGGGAGGUGAGGGCCUUCAGGCAUUGUUCAGUUCAUUGCAUUCCGAGCACUACGGCUUGGGAGUUUUCUUUGAUUGCAAAUUUAUGGAUCCGAGAACUGAGCUCACUUCUAUGGAUGACAUUUAAGUUACAUUAAGGUUUUUCUACUCGUCGUUCUCUUCUCGAUUACUGGUACCAAAGGACUCUUCCGGAAUUGUAUGCAGCUGCCAAUCUGGCGGGAAGUCAUCCAUAAAACUGCCGAAUGCCGAAUAUUCUGAAACGUAGCCUUUAUAAUCCACAUAUCAAAAUCUCGAAAUAAAUUGGUGCAAAUUUAUUAAUACACUCAAGGUAACUGAUUGAAUCAAACAGACAGUUUUUGAAUUUUCUCAAAGUGCCAACCUUAUGGAAACAUUUCAAAAAAUCUGAAAUCUUCGUUGAAAAAUGGGUAAGCUAAACUUGAUCAAUUUAGUGCAUUUCCAAAAAUAAAAAAGUUCGCCCGUGCGUUCGUGUGUUCCUAUUUUAUGUAUGUAUGUAUUAUGUGUAUUUUUGGUUAAGUUGGGCAAGGAGUUAAGCUAUUACUUAGGUUCAAGACGCCUCUUAUAAAAUAAAAUUGGACUUCUACGACACUGGCAAAAAUAUUAAUAUGACAAUCAAUUUUCAUGACUCCCACGGCUAUCUCAUUAAUAAUUAAUAAAAAAAUGUUUUUAUACCCCUUACCUUGCGGAAGUUUGGUCUCUUAUCUCCUUCUAAGAUCUAAAGUUCAAAAUUUAAUGCUCUGGCGAGACUUUUAGUUGGAUAUUUUUGCUUUCGUUCCAGCUUUGGGAAAUCGUUGUUUUUUACGUAUGCCGUAACUCUGUUGCCUUUUAUCCAUCACAGACCGACCGCUGUAUACUCUAACUCUCUAACUGAAUUAUCUGCGGUUUCCAAAAUUAUUACGCUGACCUUGACCAGGAGCGAAGAAAAGCAACUUUUGGUGGCGCUCGAGACUUCUGGAUCAUCACUUGUAAAUCAUAUAAUUACAUUGCCAAUUAAAAAUAUCCUUUUGACUAA